GUGAGGAAUUUUCCGCAAUGGGCGAAAGCCUGACGGAGCAAUGCCGCGUGAAGGAUGAAGGCCUAUGGGUUGUAAACUUCUUUUCUCAGAAAAGAAUUAUGACGGUAUCUGAGGAAUAAGCAUCGGCUAACUCUGUGUCAGCAGCCGCGGUAAGACAGAGGAUGCAAGCGUUAUCCGGAAUGAUUGGGCGUAAAGCGUCUGUAGGUUGUUUAAAAAGUAUUCUGUCAAAGAUUAGGGCUUAACCCUAGAUAGGCAGAAUAAACUUUUAAGCUAGAGUUUGGUAGAGGCAGAGGGAAUUCCCGGUGGAGCGGUGAAAUGCGUAGAUAUCGGGAGGAACACCAAAGGCGAAGGCACUCUGCUGGGCCAAUACUAACACUGAGAGACGAAAGCGAGGGGAGCAAAUGGGAUUAGAAACCCCUGUAGUCC
rnacentral:rRNA from 1 species